UGUGCCACCACACCCAGCUAACUUUUGUACUUUUUAAUAAAGACUGGGUUUUACUAUGUUGGUCAAGCUGGUCUCAAACUCCUGAUCUCAGGUGAUCCGCCCACCUCGGCCUCCCAAAGUGCUGGGAUUACAGGUGUGAGCCACCAUGCCUGACCUAAGGAUCUAGUAAUCUAGGAUGAUCUAUCUUGCCAUCCUUGAUUACAUGUUCAUAGCCAGGUUGACAGAAGAAUCCAGGGGGUUACCAGGUGCUCAGUAAACAAACUCAAGGAUCUGAAAUCUUCACUCCAUCCCACUUGCUGCUUCCUUCUUCCCAAGCCCAUUAUGACUCCUUUAAUGACCAGCAGCCCAGCGACUUUCCUCUGGCAUGGCCUCAAGCACUGCUUCAGCUCCACCAGGAGCACCAAGGCACUAGAGGCCAGGCAGGAGCAGCCCAGGUGGAAGGCCCCAGGGCGAGGAGGAGCCCCAGCAGCCUGCCUCUUUCCCUUUCGGUGGGCCCUUCUUCUCCAACCUCCCAUCCAACAGUCAGCACACGUGCCUUCCUCCUGCACCCUUGCUGAGCACACGCCCACGUCCACCCUGACCCCACACCCUGCACCCCAGAAUGUCUGAUUGGUCCCCGGAGGCAUUGCUUCCCAGACACCUCUUGUGUUCAGCUCACACUGUUCCACCAUCCAAAUGUCCUGCCUCCUCCCCACUCCUCCUCUCUCCUGUUCAUCCUUCCAUGUCCCCCUCCUGCAGAGGGAGAAUUUGUCAUUUGGUGAACACCUUGCAAGUACCAGAUACUCUGCUAGCUGCUUGUGAACACUGUGUUACUUCAUCCUCCUCUGUGAGUGUCCCAGUGCUGCCGUAACAAAUCACCACAAACCGAGUGGCUUAGAACAGCACAAAUGUCUUCUCCCACAGUUUUGAAAGGAAGAAGUCUGAAAUCAAGGUGUCCACAAAGGCUGUAAGGGAGAGACCUUCCUCACCUCUUCCAGCUUCUGGUGGCUUCAGACUUUCCUUGGCUUGUGGCAGCAUCACUCUAAUCUCAGCCUCUGUCUUCACAUGGCUCUCUCCUCAUCUCCCUGUGUGUCUCCCACUGUAUAUUUCUUAUAAGAACACCUGACAUUGAAUCUAAGUAAUCUGGAAGGACCUAGUAAUCUUUUUUUGGUUUUUUUGUUUGUUUGAGUCGGAGUCUCACUGUCACCCAGGCUGGAGUGCAAUGGUGCAAUCUCAGCUCACUGCAACCUCUGCCUACCUGGCUCAAGUGAUUCUCUUGCCUCAGCCUUCCAGGUAACCAGGAUUACAGGUACGUGCCAACACACCCAGCGGAUUUUUGUAUUUUUAGUAGAGACAGGGUUUCACCAUGUUGCCCAGACUGGUCUUGAACUCCUGACCUCAGGUGAUCCACCCGCCUCAGCCUCCCAAAGUGCUGGGAUUACAGGCGAGAGCCACCGCACCCAGCCUCUUUGUUUUUGUCAAGGUGGAGUCUCACUCUAUCACCCAGGCUGGAUUGCAGUGGCACAAUCUUGACUCACUGCAGCCUUCACCUCCGAGGUUCAAGUGAUUCUCCUGCCUCAGCCUCCCGAGUAGCUGGGAUUACAGGCACCACCACCACACCCAGCCUUUUUUUUUUUUUUUUUUUUUUUUGGUAUUUUUAGUAGACAGGGUUUUGCCAUGUUAGCCAGUCUGGUCUCAAACUCCUGGCCUCAAGUGAUCUGCCCACUUCGGCCUCCCAAAGUGCUGGGAUUACAGGCGUGAGCCACCACACCCCGCCUAAGGAUCUAGUAAUCUAGGGUGAUCUAUCUUGACAUCCUUAAUUACAUCUGCAAAAAGCCUUUUUCCAAGUAAGGUCACAUUCACAGGGUCCAGGAGUUAGAAUGUGGACAUGUCUUUUGGGGGUCACCAUUCAAUCCACUGUACCUUCUAACAACCGUUUGAGGGAAAGAGAGCGUUACUCUCAUUUUAUAGUUGAGGAUGCUGAGGCUCAGACAGGGUAAGGGCCUUGCCUAGGAUCACACUGCUACCAAAGGCAGCCAGCAUCUGAAUCUACCUGAUUACAAAGUCCGUGUUUUCUCCACUAUACCUAUAACUCUUCCAUAAGCCUUUUCUCCUUUCCUCCCACCCUUCACCCCCGCUUUUCCUGCCUUUGAACCACCUCUGGGUGCUUCUGUGGCCCUCUCAUCUUUUCAUGCAUUUUUCUUUUUUUUGAGACGGAGUCUCGCUCUGUUGCCCAGGCUGGAGUGCAAUGGCGCGAUCUUGGUUCACUGCAACCUCUGCCUCCCUGGUUCACGCCAUUCUCCCACCUCAGCCUCCCGAGUAGCUGGGACUACAGACGCCCACCGCCACACUCAGCUAAUUUUUUGUUUUUAUAUUUUUAGUAGAGACGAGGUUUCACCGUGUUACCAGGAUGGUCUUGAUCUCCUGACCUCGUGAUCUGCCCGCCUCGUCCUCCCAAAGUGUUAGGAUUAUGGGCAUGAGCCACCGCUCCCAGCCUUUUCAUGCAUUUUUGUUUGUCUUAUCUCCUCCAGUCUGAGCUCUCCUUAGAACAAGACCUUGCCUUACUCAUCUCUGUAUCUUCCAAAGUGCUCUGUCUGGAGCAUAGCACAUGCACUUCUCUAUCAAGAGGGGAAAAAAAUAAGACACACCAAGACAGCUGUAAGUUUCAAGAAAAAUAAGAGGCCGGAUUCUUUGUAGAAGCUGAAGAAUAUUCCUCUGCAAUUGGUUGGCUUCCUCAGUGGUUCGGCUUCAGGAUCCCGCAGAGGUUGGCUAAGGCCCAGUCAGCCAAAGGCGCCAGCACGACUGGGACUGGAAGAUCCACUUCCAAGACGGCUCAUGCACGGUGCUGCCCAGCUGGUGCUGUAGCUGGCAGGAGGCCUGGAUUCCCUGCUGCACUGGGUGACCAGAUUUUCCCAGAGCAAGAGUCCAAGAGAGAGAAAAAUGAAAGAUACAAGGUUUUUUUAUGAUCUGGCCUCAGGAGUCUUAUUUCCACAAUAUCCUAUUGGUUAUACAAGUCAGCCCUACUCAACAUCAGACUACACAAGGGUGGGACUGGUGAAAUAAGAUUCACUGGAGGGCUAUCUUGAAAGGUGGAUACCACAUAAUUCCAUGACGUUUAUAAACGACAUACCUAAAAUAUAAGGACAUGAAAGUGUUUGAAGCAAAGCUGGAGUAGUUGUUAGUAAUAUGGGACAAAAUAGACUUUGGGGAAAUAAAGCAUUAUUAUGGCUAGAGAAUGACAUUAAAUAAUGACAAAAAAUACAAUCUACUAAGAUUAUUAUAAACCUAGUAAAAUAAGAAGAUAUGAUUAUAAAACUAAAAAAUAAGCUUAAUAAAAUAGGUUUAAAAUAUAUAAAUUAUAAAAAUUAAAAGAACCCAGGGAGAAGUUGCCAUAUUUGCCAUCAUAGUGGGAGAUGUCAACACACCUCUCUCCGUUACUGUUAGAUCAAAGAGACAAAAAAUUAGAAAAGACAGAAAAUUUGCACAAUACAAUUAAUCAGCUUGAUUUAUUGGGCAUAGAUAGAAUUCUCUACCCAGCAAUUAGGGAUGACACAUUUGGAACAUAUAUAAAAACUGACCAGGCCGGGCGCGGUGGCUCAC
rnacentral:lncRNA from 1 species